UGGAAGCGUCUGGAAAGGCGCGCGAUACAGGGUGAGAGCCCCGUACACAAAAGCGCACAUGCUGUGAGCUCGAUGAGUAGGGCGGGACACGUGGUAUCCUGUCUGAAUAUGGGGGGACCAUCCUCCAAGGCUAAAUACUCCUGACUGACCGAUAGUGAACCAGUACCGUGAGGGAAAGGCGAAAAGAACCCCGGCGAGGGGAGUGAAACAGAACCUGAAACCGUG
rnacentral:rRNA from 1 species